UGAAGAGAACCUGAAAGCUGGAGCGUCUCAGGGCGUUCGGGGCUUUCUGUGGCUUUAGGUGUUGGUGAGCGUGGUGUGGUUUGGUUGGCCUGGCAGCAGGGAUGGGCCUUAGCAGGUGCUGGGAGAGGUCACUACAGGAGAUGGAGCCGGUGGGUCACCACAAGGUUAUCCUGACCCGAGCUCACCGACUCUUCUCCCCAGCCACCUGCUGACCGAGGCCUGAAACGAUGGUUCGUGUAAAAGCGAUGUGCCCAACAAGCAUUCAGACUAUUUGUUCUCUCCGCGGAUGAUGCCUGUAAAAGGGGCUGCAGGUGCUUGAGCCAGGGGCACAGUGUCUAGGGGCCACGUUAACUAUUAACACAGCCAUAUAAUACUGUUACUGAUUACCGCCUCUCGCUCAUGAGACUCCCACUGACCUGAGUCACAGACUCGGUGCGCAGUUUCGUCCUCUCCCUCCCUGGAUCUUUUUCAAACGACCUUCCUGGUGACCUUUAUCCUUCCUGCCAUAAAACGCAGAGACGUAAAAAUGUCUUGUACAAAGUUAAGAGGAACCCUGUUUGACAUGUAGUUCUCCAGGUACUUUACUCCUGGGGCGAAAGUCCGAGGUGUAGGGGACUCACACACGGCACAUGUACAAGAUGAGGUAACGUCAAGGUGUUGUUCUGCAGCACGAACACGCUGCGUGAUAAGAACUCUGCUCAGGCAACAUUACACCUUAAUGGGUUGAACAUAGCGUAGUAAUAUGCGUCUUAUUCGGCAGCUGGAGCCAUUAACCACAACAUCCUCACAUCAUCUGGUGUUUUUUCAUGUCACAGACAAUGAAGGUCCUUAGAAUUUUUUUCCCAACAUUUUGUGAAAUAAAUUAAUUCAAUUUCUCUUUUAGAGUUCAAUGAAAAGAGUGAUUCCUCUUCAUGACAUCCUGCCGUUAAGUUUAGCGCUUGAGCCAGGAGGGGAUUAGCUUAGCUUAGCUAAAAGACUGGAAGCAGAGGGAAACAGCUAGCCUCUCCACAAACAAGACUACAUAAAACUUUAAGUACUCAAAAGGCACUUCUGGCAAGAAUGAGUGUUAUAAUAUGUGAAAUGUAUUUAAGUGUGUAUUUACAGACGUCAGUAUUCAUGAUUGAAAAUCAACAAUUAAUAUAUAUUAUAGUAAUUGAUAAAUGGGAAGUUACAUCACGUUCCAUGUAUCAUGAACCUCCCAGUAAAGAGACAUGUGGAGAAAAAACUGUUUAAAUGAUCACGGCUACAGUCAUCAAUCACUUAAAUGGGUCAAAAAGCUUGUGAGAGAAUUUUUUCACACUCAAAUAAAUGUUUAAAUAGUUUGCUUAUAUUAAUCAAUGGGUCUGCUCACUGUGUUCACAUGACAAUAUAAUGGAAAAUCUUUUUAAAUGGUCGCCUAUAUACUGUCACAUGCUCCAUUCUCACCCAUAGGAAGUUGAAGGCCUAGAACAGUGUAUAACCACAU